rnacentral:rRNA from 1 species
AGGACGAACGCUGGCGGCGCGCUUAACACAUGCAAGUCGAGCGAGAACCAGUCCUUCGGGACUGGGGACAGCGGCGAACGGGUGAGUAACACGUGGGUAAUCUGCCCUCGAUUCUGGGAUAGCCCCGGGGGAAACCCGGAUUAAUACCGGAUAGCCUCUCGAGCUUACGAGCUCGUGAGAAAAGGUAGCUUCGGCCU